rnacentral:piRNA from 1 species
AAAGGUUUGGUCCUGGCCUUAUG